rnacentral:rRNA from 1 species
UAAUACCGGAUAGAUCAAAGAUACUGGAAUGUUCCUUGAUCCAAAGCUCCGGCGUCCAAGGAUGGAUCCGCGGCCUAUCAGGUAGUAGUGGGUGUAACGUACCUACUAGCCUACGACGGGUAAGGGUUGUGAGAGCAAGAGCCCCGAGAUGGAUUCUGAGACAUGAAUCCAGGCCCUACGGGGUGCAGCAGGCGCGAAAACUUUACACUGCGGGAAACCGCGAUAAGGGGACCCCGAGUGCCAGCACCUAGUGCUGGCUGUCCAGCUGUUCAAAUAACAGUUGUUAGCAAGGGCCGGGCAAGACCGGUGCCAGCCGCCGCGGUAACACCGGCGGCCCGAGUGGUAGCCGUUAUUAUUGGGUUUAAAGGGUCCGUAGCCGGCCUAUUAAGUCUCUUGGGAAAUCUGGCGACUCAAUCGUCAGGCGUCC